rnacentral:rRNA from 1 species
UUACGGCCACAUCACGUUGAAACACCGGUUGCCGUAAGAUCAUCGAAGUUAAGCAACGUCGGGCUUGGUUAGUACCCAGGUACGUGACCGCCUGGGAAUACCAGAUGAUGUAAG